rnacentral:rRNA from 1 species
ACUCAAAGGAAUUGACGGGGACCCGCACAAGCGGAGGAUGAUGUGGUUUAAUUUGACGAUACGCGAAGAACCUUACCCAGGCUUGACAUCCUUGGAACCCACUGGAAACAGAGGGGUGCCUUCGGGAGCCAAGUGACAGGUGCUGCAUGGCCGUCGUCAGCUCGUGUCGUGAGAUGUUGGGUUAAGUCCCGCAACGAGCGCAACCCUUAUCGUAUGUUGUAUUUUUCAUGCGAGACUGCCCGGGCCAACCGGGAGGAAGGUGGGGAUGACGUCAGGUCAGCAUGGCCCUUACGCCUGGGGCUACACACGUCAUACAAUGGCCGGUACAACGCGCCGCGAAACCGCGAGGUGGAGCUAAUCGCAUCAAAACCGGUCUCAGUUCGGAUUGCAGGCUGCAACUCGCCUGCAUGAAGUCGGAUUCGCUAGUAAACGUGGGUCAGCACACCACGUUGAAUACGUUCCCGGGUCUUGUACACACCGCCCGU